ensembl:lncRNA
CCCACUGAGUCACUUCUUCCUGCCUUUCUCCGAGGAGCUCAAGUUCUGUGGUGUCUAUGGCUCUCCUACAGUUUAUCUUCACAGCAACUCUGCCAGGGCUGCUCCUCGGUGUCUUCGUGGCUGGAGGAGGCCGGAGAGGUCACCCAGGGGGACAAGACCCUCUCCUCACCGCCAGAGAGUCCCCGGCCCUGGGAGACAGGAGCUGAGCGGCAUCUGGAGGCGCAGGUGAUGCGGCUGCAGGCGUCCAGCAACGUGGCUUUGGGCCGCCUCUCUGCCCUGGAGUCAGGAGUCCGGUACCUGAGCCAGGAGCUGCGGGCUGAGAGGCUCUUGUGGAGCAGCCGCUACCUGGAGCUCCUGCGAGAGCAGCAAGGCCUGGCUGUGCAGUGGGACCUGGACCCAAGUGGGCUGCAAAAGAAUGACUAGCUCCAUGACGUUGCAGAGAACCAUGCCAUUGUUUGGGGAGAACAUUUCGAACGCGUCUCUCCUCUCUCAAAGUCUGGACUAAGACCAGUGGACCAAUCCAAUGAAUAAAGAAAGAGCACUGCACCAAGGUGGACCCAGACUCAAAGCAGGAGGUUCCGCGAUGGUUGUCCGUCCAUGCGCCAGGUGAGGUCCAGGCUGCAACAAACAGGACAGGGCCCAGGGGGAGCCAAAGGCACAUAGAGGAGCAUCAAACUUCACCCGGAAGGCAGAGUGGAACAAAAUUGCAAAUCUGAGUCCUGACAGAUUAGAGCAGGGGUCCCCAAACUAAGGCUCGGGGGCCGGAUGCGGCCCUCCAAGGUCAUUUACCUGGCCCCUGCCCUCAUUUAUAAUAUAAUAUUUUAUAUCAGUUUUAAUAAUAUAAUGUAUUGUAUAUACAUAUGAUAUUGAUAAUAUUAUCAUUUUAUACAGUAUAAUACUAAUAAUAAUACCAUAUAAUAAUAUUAAUUAUAUGUUAUAUAUUACAUAUAAUAUUACAGUAUAGUGGUAUAGUUCAAUAUAGUAAUAUAUAAUGCUAAUAUUGUGCUAUGCUAAUAAUAUAAUAUAUUGUAUGCACAUACAGCUGCUCUGAGUUCUCUUUGGGGUGAGAAGGGUGGGAUAUAAAUGUAGUAAAUGAAUAAAUAAAUAAUUUUGGACUUAGGCUCGCCCAAAGUCUGAAUUGACUUGAAGACACACAACAACAACAAUCCCAAUUAACUUGACUAUCUCAAUGGCCAGAAGGAGGCCCACACUUCCUAUUGAAAUCCUGAUAGGUUUAUGUUGGUUAAAAUUAUUUUCAUUUUUAAAUAUUUUAUUGGUCUUUCAUUGUUAUUGUUGUUGUUUUGGACUACAAAUAAGAUAUGUGCAGUGUGCAUAGGAAUUUGUUCAUUUUUUUUUUCAAAUGAUAAUUCGGCCUCUCAACAGUCUGAAGGAUUGUGGACCGGCCCUCUGCUUUAAAAGUUUGAGAUUAGAGAGCUGAUUGUCCUGGAAACUUGGGACUCAAUGGAGCAAUGGGUUCAACUUCCAGGAAAGGACACCCACCUGAGCUUUAAGAAGAACUUCCUGACUGCAAGAAGAAUGGUUCAGCAGUGGAACUCUCUGCCUUGGAAUGUAGUGGAGGCUUUUAAACAGAGGUUGGAUGGCCAUCUGUCGGGGGUGCUUUGAUUGUGCUUUUCCUGCAUGGCAGAAAGGGAUGGGACUAGUGGCUCAUGCUGUCUCUUCCAACUGUGAUUCCAUGACUGGAGGAAAUGUUCCCACUAUCCCAGAGUAUUCCCAUAGCUAUCCAGGCAACAGGAAAUAAAGGACAACCAAACUACGGCAGGUCUCCAGCCGUGCUUUGGACAAGCCAUUUUGGGU